UGGGUGAGAAUUGUGUCUGGGGCUGGCUAGGCUGCUGAUUGCUUUGAUGUGAAAUGAUUGUGUUUUAACAGCCUAUGGGGUCCACAGACCACAGGCACUGCUCUCUGACUGCUUCUGUCCAUCACAUGGCCAGCUCUGCCUGGCCAGCUCUGCCUGGGUAAGUGCCAGUCCGACUCGCUGUCUCUCUGACUUCUCUCUCCAUCACACAGCCAGCUCUGCCUGGGUAAGUGCCAGUCCGACUCGCUGUCUCUCUGACUCUCUGUCUCUCUGACUCCCUGUCGCUCUGACUCGCUGUCUCUCUGACUUCUCUCUCCAUCACACAGCCAGCUCUGCCUGGGUAAGUGCCAGUCCGACUCGCUGUCUCUCUGACUUCUCUCUCCAUCAUGCCGGGCCAGCUCUGCCUGGCCAGCUCUCCGCUGAAUGUGGAGGAAGUGUGAAGGCGUUGGGCAGUGAGGGGGCUGGUGUUGUACAGACGCUGGGAGGUGAAAGGCACAGCUGCUGGUUGUUCCUCCAGGUAAUGUCUCCUGAUGAAAAGGUCUGGUGGUGGCGAGAAGGUGCAAAUGAAAGAGUGGACUAAAGUUCUCUCAAGUCAGGGCUCUGGAGGCUGGCCCAGACCCACAGGGUCCAAGAGACAAACAAAUGUUCCCUCAAUGGCAUGAGUACAGCGCUUUCAGAAACUAUUCAUACCCCUUGACUUAUUCCACAUGUUGAGUUACAGCCUGAAUUUAAAAAUGUAUCAACUAUAAUUUGCUCACCCAUCUACACACAAUACCCC